CCUACGGGAGGCAGCAGUGGGGAAUAUUGCACAAUGGGGGAAACCCUGAUGCAGCGAUGCCGCGUGAACGAAGAAGGCUUUCGAGUCGUAAAGUUCUGUUCUUAGGGAAGAAAAUGACGGUACCUAAGGAGAAAGCACCGGCUAAAUACGUGCCAGCAGCCGCGGUAAUACGUAUGGUGCAAGCGUUGUCCGGAAUUACUGGGCGUAAAGAGUUCGUAGGCGGUCAAAUAAGUCAGGAGUGAAAGGCUACGGCUCAACCGUAGUGAGCUUUUGAAACUGUUUGACUUGAGUACUGGAGAGGAAAGUGGAAUUCCUAGUGUAGCGGUGAAAUGCGUAGAUAUUAGGAGGAACACCAGUGGCGAAGGCGGCUUUCUGGACAGUAACUGACGCUGAGGAACGAAAGCGUGGGGAGCAAACAGGAUUAGAUACCCCAGUAGUC
rnacentral:rRNA from 2 species